ACUACAAUAAUCAAUAAUUUGAUUGGGUAAAUCUACACCCACAAACAUUUAGUGGAAGAGCUUCUUAAUUUUUAUUUUACACUUUUAGUUGUUUUUGGUAGGAGUCCAUCAUCACCCUACUUCUUGAUCUAGCAAUAUUGCCCUGAAAAACUAUCAAAAUCAAUCAGACUGUGAGGACAUCUGUUGUCCACAGCCUUCCUUAAAUAGCCUAAAAGAUUUCCCUGCACGUUUGGUUCCAGACUAUUGCAAAACUUUGAUUUUCUUAAGAUGUAGCUAGUCUUUUGUUAACUUGGAUGUAUUCCUGGUCUUAUUGUGCUACUGAAGAACAAAACCCUGGUUCAUCUUCAGAUUUCACUUUUUAGUCCAAAGUGACUGGUUUUCAGACCUGUCCAACAAUUUCCUUCACCCUGACAAACUCCAAUUUGUUGUGAAGAAAAGUUAGUCCAGAGAAUGAUCUCGUCACCUCCUUGUUUUACAGUGGUCAGCUGUUUUUGUACCAGACAUGAUUUUUUCAAAAUGUGGCCAAACGCAAAGUUUUAGUACUGAAAUUGUUGCCCAGAAAUUUGUCCAGUCAUGUGUUUACUGUGACAUAUUAUAGAAUGCUUAUAAAUGGCAUCCUCCUUCUAACUGGUACAAUUUCUUAGUGGAUUUCUUUAUAAAUGUUUAACUAAAAGGACGCAAAUGUGAGGGAAAUCCUACCAGGACAAAUUAACUCUUCUUAGACUAAUCAGCUGAUUGGAGGCAUUAACUCAAGAUGUUAUCUUGAUCUUUAAUUAAAAAGGUGCUUCAAAAAUAUUGCAGUUUCAGGGUGCAGACACAAGGUUUGCAAAUGUUUUUUUUUUUUUUUUUUUUGGUGGUGUUUUAGUUUGUUUUGUUUUGUACAUGUUCUCCCUAACCUAUGUUUCUGUGUUAGUUAAAAUGUACAUGUUUUACAUUCCAAAAGCCUCACCUUUUUAAAUAGACCAUACACACUUUUGAAACCCACUGUAUAUCCUUUCCUUAUAAAAGUAAAGUGCCAACAGGAAAGUCUGAUUUGCACAAUAGUUUUUACCUGAUGAGCCAUCCUUCAUAUAUUAAAGGAGCACCAGUGCCUUUGAGCUACAAAUUAGUGUCUUUAGUAAGUCCACAGGUGAGGAAAUGUAUCACAAACAAAUGUAUUUUAUUUGAACUAAAAAAAAAAAUGGCAUAAAUUUUUCAGAUUUGUAUAAUGAUUUGAUGAUUUUUUUGGAAGAUAAUGUUUUUCUGUUUGCGCAGUGUGCUGGUUGAUUCCAAAAUUACCUAGUUAGCUUGAA